GCAGACUCAGUUUGGGAUAGCCCUCGACCAAGGUAUCCCUGAUGACUGAGUAUGAUAAUGAUUUUGGCACGAGCCAAAGUUUUAAAAAAUUCAUAAGCCAUGUUAAUUACUCGAUUUUAUAUGAAUUGAUUUUAUUUGGUUGAAACAAGUUGAAAGGUGAUGAAUUUCAGUAUGUUAAACUGUUUUAUCUGUCUCCAUUUACUCGACUUUAGAUGGUUUAGAUGGUAUCUGUUUACUCACUGG
rnacentral:lncRNA from 1 species